AGAAAAGUAGGUGCCGCCCCGCACAGGGGCAACGCCAAUAGACCACUAACAAAUCAAGGAAAGGCCAAAAGCGCCGGAUCAAAAAAAACACCCCUACAGGCAAGC
rnacentral:sRNA from 2 species